UACGGGGGGGGCAAGCGUUGUUCGGAAUUACUGGGCGUAAAGCGUGCGUAGGCGGUUUGAUAAGUCGGGUGUGAAAGCCCCGGGCUUAACCUGGGAAUUGCAUUCGAUACUAUCUGACUCGAGUCUGGGAGAGGGGAGCGGAAUUCCGGGUGUAGCGGUGAAAUGCGUAGAUAUCCGGAGGAACAUCAGUGGCGAAGGCGGCUUCCUGGCCUAAGACUGACGCUGAGGUACGAAAGCGUGGGGAGCAAACAGG
rnacentral:rRNA from 1 species